UAAUCACUUCAGAGACAAAAGCAAUGACACUUAAAUACAAAUUUAAUUAACAAUGGGACAACAGUGUGUUUGUGUGUGUGUGUGUGUGUGUGUGUGUGUGUGUGUGUGUAUGUGUGUGUGUGUGUGUUUGUGUGUGUGUACAUGUGUGUGUGUGUGUGUGUGUGUGUGUUUGUGUGUUCUGGUAAUCAUCACGCGAUGGGGACCGUUGACUGUUUACACAGUCACGUCAUGGGGACCGGUUGCGCUUUGGGGACCAAAAUCCCGGUCCCCAUGAGGAUAACCCUUUUAAAUGACUACUAGAGCUACUCUGAAGGUGCCCGUGAAGUUUUAAGCAUUGGCCCAUACGACAUGUUUUUUGGUGAGUGUGAGUGUGUGAGCAUUGCUCAUUGGUGGCCCUACUGUUUCUAGUUAGUACUGCACCCACUGCUUCACACACACACAUCUUCCAAAUAUGGUUGGGUGCCACCCACUUCCUUGUCCCCAUUAGGAAUGAUUCAAGCAGCGAGGACAUUUUCAGCAUCAAGAGGUAGCUAUCAACAGUAAAAGAAGAUUAUUUGCUGGAGAAACUAGCUAAGAAGAUAAGAACAUGUGCAGAGGAGCAAAAGUAAAGCAUAAGAAAUGCCACCACGGAUCAGCAAUUCAACAUGAUACACAUCUGCAAAUUAGAGGUCCAGUAUAUUUAUGCAGCAAAAGUAUUGAUGCCUUCAGAGAAGAUGGCUCAAUUGGGUGACAAGUUAAUGAUGAACACAGACGUCCUUACUCCAAAAUGAAAAAAACUGGUGUUAAUGGAGAACCCCACCUUUGUUUAUUUGCCCUGGAUGACAUCAAAGAAGGAGAAGAAAUCGCCUAUAACUAUGGAGGUGAAGACUGCCCAUGGCAAACACAGACGACCAGCAUCACUGUUAACACCAUGGAGGAGGAUGAUUCAGAUCCUGUCCACUCAGAGAGACAGAUGGCUUGUGCCUUUGGGCCAAAGACCACACCUGAAGAGGUACAACUGCCGCAAAGGAGAAAACACCCUGGAAGGAGACAGACGUGAAGGCAGUGGAAAGGCACAUGAAUCGAUUCAUCACAUCUUGUAUUGCUCCAGCAAAGUUUGACUGUGAGAAGUGUUUAAGGGCUGAUCCA